CCCUCUUAUUCCAAUAGUUAUGGCGCCCAAAGAGCAAAGCUCAACCAAGGUCCUUACAUUAAGCAUAGACACUUGAUUCCCAAUUAAGCCGGCGCUCAGAGAGCAUUACUCGACUAGGGACUUUUGUCCAGCAGUCAAGCUUUCACAGCCUAGAGAAUUAUACUCGACCAGGGCAAAAUUCAAAAAUAAUCUUUAUUACCUGUAUCUAAUUAUUACCGAUGUGCACGCAGUCCUGAUAUAACCCAUCAUGUGGCAUGUUCUACUGUUACCUCAUCCCAAUAUCACAAUUACAAUAUUUAUAAGAACCAUAAAUAGAAUAAUCAUAGGCCAACAUAAAUUAUUCAAUAACAUAUUGAAAAUUAAAAAUUUAGAAAUAUCGGGAUUAGUAAACAUGCAAUUAUAAGUAGUUAUAAUAAUACUAGUAUUAAAAUAGCAUUAAUUAAAAAUAUCAAAAAUAAUAACAUAAAUUUACUAAUAAUAAUACUAAUGUUAUUCGUGAUAAUUAUCAAUUAAACGAAAUUACUUAUAAUAACGAUAAUGAUACCCAUAUUAAAUAUAAAUCAUUAAACAUCUCAAUAAAUUUAGAUAUGCUAAUAGUACAGUGAUUAUAUGAUUUUAACUACAGUUCUGUCGCGCUCCGUAGUCCGCUCCUACGCUUCGGGUGGAGCUGGCGAGAUGGACAAAUUAUCUAUUCACGAAAAUACUCUGUUAAUAGAUAUUCUUAAAUUUUCUUAGACCUAGACCCUGUAGAUUAGGCUGCCUAAAAAUAUUUCAGACUUAAAAAUUCUGUCAAAACUUCGACAAAACCUCCUCUAAAUUAUAGAUAUUUACCUCCCGUAGAACAGGUCCAGAACCUGCUAGAAACACUUCAAAUAUUUUGCAAUUAACUAACGAGAGUUGAGCUGCUAGUACUGUAUUAUUUUUUUCGACUCUACAAUAUACCACAAAUCACAAUUAAUUAAAUCCAAUUAAGUUUAAUUUAUCUAUAAUUGAUAAUUAACAGCAACAAAAUUUUUCUAAAAUUAUAACAUAAUUUUUGAGGUCUAAAUUAAAUUACACCGAGCUGAAAUUUCAAUUCCUACCAACAGUUUCGGAAUUCAAAUUCGUAAGCGUCUACGGGAAGCUCGAAUUGCAAGGAGUCCGAAAACACAAGAGUUUCGUCCGGAAGGCAUCGGAUCGGGGCUGGAAAGUCUCGGCUCUGGCGAAGCUCCUCCGAGGCUGCCGAUGGUGGAAAGUGGCGGGGGAGGCUUUUUUCUCGGGUUUUCGGCGGUGAGGGAUCCGAAUCCGGCAUCAGACGAUCGAUUGGACAUCGGUAGGCGGCCAAAACAGCGACGACAACUCCUUCUUCCUUCGGUUGAAGUCGCUGUGGAAGGGAAGGAAAAGGGGAAGGGCAACACAGUAGCGUGGGGGGAAGGAGGCGCUGCUGGCGGCGGCGGCGGCCUGUUCGGUGCGCAAGCAGGAGGGGAAAGAGGGGAGUCGAUGUAGGGGAGAGGAAAGGGGAGGAAAGAAAAAAAAGAGAAAAAUGUUUUUUUAAAUUAUUAUUAUUAUUAUUAUUUUCGGGUAUUACACUAGUAUU
rnacentral:lncRNA from 1 species